UACGUAGGGUGCAAGCGUUGUCCGGAAUUAUUGGGCGUAAAGAGCUCGUAGGUGGUUUGUCGCGUCUGCUGUGAAAUCCUUCCGCUCAACGGGAGGCUUGCAGUGGGUACGGGCAGACUAGAGUGCAGUAGAGGAGUCUGGAAUUCCUGGUGUAGCGGUGGAAUGCGCAGAUAUCAGGAGGAACACCGGUGGCGAAGGCGGGACUCUGGGCUGUUACUGACGCUGAGGAGCGAAAGCAUGGGGAG
rnacentral:rRNA from 1 species